GCGAAGAACCUUACCUACUCUUGACAUCCAGAGAACUUUCCAGAGAUGGAUUGGUGCCUUCGGGAACUCUGAGACAGGUGCUGCAUGGCUGUCGUCAGCUCGUGUUGUGAAAUGUUGGGUUAAGUCCCGCAACGAGCGCAACCCUUAUCCUUGUUUGCCAGCGAGUAAUGUCGGGAACUCCAGGGAGACUGCCGGUGAUAAACCGGAGGAAGGUGGGGACGACGUCAAGUCAUCAUGGCCCUUACGAGUAGGGCUACACACGUGCUACAAUGGCGCAUACAGAGGGCGGCCAACUUGCGAAAGUGAGCGAAUCCCAAAAAGUGCGUCAUAGUCCGGAUUGGAGUCUGCAACUCGACUSCAUGAAGUCGGAAUCGCUAGU
rnacentral:rRNA from 1 species